CAUGGUAUAGCUCAGUUGGUAGAGCGUAAGACUGUUAAUCUUAUGAGCGGCCGUUCGAGUCGGCCUACCAUGA
rnacentral:tRNA from 1 species